UACGAAGGGGGCUAGCGUUGCUCGGAUUGACUGGGCGUAAAGGGCGCGUAGGCGGCCAACUAAGUCAGACGUGAAAUCCCUCGGCUCAACCGGGGAACUGCGUCUGAUACUGGAUGGCUUGAAUUCGGGAGAGGGAUUCGGAAUUCCAGGUGUAGCGGUGAAAUGCGUAGAUAUCUGGAGGAACACCGGUGGCGAAGGCGGCAUCCUGGACCGAGAUUGACGCUGAUGCGCGAAAGCCAGGGGGAGCAAACGGG
rnacentral:rRNA from 1 species